CCUACGGGUGCGCAGCAGUGGGGAAUAUUGGGCAAUGGGCGCAAGCCUGACCCAGCAACGCCGCGUGAAGGAAGAAGGCUUUCGGGUUGUAAACUUCUUUUCUCAGGGACGAAGCAAGUGACGGUACCUGAGGCAUAAGCCACGGCUAACUACGUGCCAGCAGCGGCGGUAAUACGUAGGUGGCAAGCGUUAUCCGGAUUUACUGGGUGUAAAGGGCGUGUAGGGGGGAAAGGAAGUCAGAUGUGAAAACAACGGGCUCAACCUGUGGCCUGCAUUUGAUACUGUUUUUCUUGAGUACUGGAGAGGCAGACAGAAUUGCUGGUGUAGCGGUGAAAUGCGUAGAUAUUAGGAGGAACACCAGUGGCGAAGGCGGUCUGCUGGACAGCAACUGACGCUGAGGCGCGAAAGCGUGGGGAGCAAACAGGAUUAGAUACCCGGGUAGUC
rnacentral:rRNA from 1 species